UUGGUGGCGGAAUAGUGGGUUUUGCUGCAACCGAUUUAUUUUCCUUCUGUUUUCACCCAUUCUGGCACAAUCUGGCGCCAUCGUCCUUCUUGUGAGGCCAAGCCUGAAAAUGCGAAGCAGAGAGGCAGGACCAAAAUUGAGGCGAAUCCGGGAACCUGCCAAUGGGUCUCCGGGUGCGGUCUCUGAAACUGGAGGAUAUCGGGAGGAAAGGCUCUCCGAUGCGGAGAUAAUGGGGAAGCUCUUGGCAUGGUUGGCUGUAGGUAUGUGAUACCGGAGGAGCAGGAGUCAAAUAGGAUACGCCGACUUUUAAUUCAAGGAACCCUUUUCUGAAACACUUUGCCACAAUGAAGGAAAUAAGG